rnacentral:rRNA from 1 species
GGUUUCCGUAGGUGAACCUGCGGAAGGAUCAUUACCGAGUGUAGGGUUCCUAGCGAGCCCAACCUCCCACCCGUGUUUACUGUAACCUUAGUUGCUUCGGCGGGCCCGCCUUUAAGGCCGCCGGGGGGCAUCAGCCCCCGGGCCCGCGCCCGCCGGAGACACCACGAACUCUGUCUGAUCUAGUGAAGUCUGAGUUGAUUGUAUCGCAAUCAGUUAAAACUUUCAACAAUGGAUCUCUUGGUUCCGGCAUCGAUGAAGAACGCAGCGAAAUGCGAUAACUAGUGUGAAUUGCAGAAUUCCGUGAAUCAUCGAGUCUUUGAACGCACAUUGCGCCCCCUGGUAUUCCGGGGGGCAUGCCUGUCCGAGCGUCAUUGCUGCCCAUCAAGCACGGCUUGUGUGUUGGGUCGUCGUCCCCUCUUCGGGGGGGACGGGCCCCAAAGGCAGCGGCGGCACCGCGUCCGAUCCUCGAGCGUAUGGGGCUUUGUCACCCGCUCUGUAGGCCCGGCCGGCGCUUGCCGAACGCAAAACAACCAUUCUUUCCAGGUUGACCUCGGAUCAGGUAGGGAUACCCGC